CAGAACUCUCAGGGACACAAGAUACCUUGGCAUGACUGGAAUAUGUUGUGACAUCACCUGUAGCAAUCAGAUGCACAUGCUCUGGGUUUGGCUAUGAUCACUAAGUUUUUGUGGAAGCAAUAUGGCUGAAAGUGGUGAAAACUACAUGGAGGGCUGUCCCAUGAAAGACUCCAAUGGAUCCUGUAUCCUUAAAAUAGGGAAAGGUACCCAAGAUUGAAGGAGCCUGGACUCUGAAUGACCUUAUGGAACAGCCUUUAUCUGAACUGGAAACAAACUUCUAUUAAACCAUUAAGAUCAUGA